CUGGUAUGAAGGUUUAACAAAAAAAAUCUUUAUGGGGCUAUAUAAAUAAUUUAAAUUAUAAGUAAGAAUGCUUUUUUAAGUUAAAAAGACGAUAAGACCCCUGAAGCUUAAAUUAAUGUAUAGGUUUAUAAAAAAGAUAUUUUAGACCUAUUUUUAUUAAUAUUGGCUGGGGUAGUUUAUUUUUAUAAAAUUAAGUUUAGUUAAUAGUUCAAUAGGAAGAUUAUAGAUCCUUUAAAUAAGGAUAAGUAGAAAAAGUUACUCCGGGGAUAACAGCGCUAUAAUUUUGGAGAGAUCCUAUCUAUAGAAUUGAUUGCGACCUCGAUGUUGAAUUAAAAAAUCUUUGCGGGGUAGAAUAUGCAGAAGAGGGUUUGUUCAACCUUUAAAUUUUUACAUGAUUU
rnacentral:rRNA from 1 species